AACGAACGCUGGCGGCAUGCCUAACACAUGCAAGUCGAACGAGACCUUCGUGCCUAGUGGCGCACGUGUGCGUAACGCGUGGUAACCUGCCCUUAGGUUCGGAAUCACUCCCUGUAAGGUGUCUUAAUACCGGUUAAUCUCUUCGGACCUAAGAUUUCGCGCCUUUUGAUGGGCCCUCGUUGGUUUAGCUAGUUGGUAGGGUAAAAGCCUACCAAGGCGACGAUCCAUAGCUGGUCUGAGAGGAUGAUCAGCGCGACUGGGACUGAGACACGGCCCAGACGGGAACGAGAGGCAGCAGGGGGGAAAAAAGGACAAGGAGCGAAAGCCAGAUACAGCAAGGGCGGGUGAGUGAUGAAGGGGUUAGGGUUGUAAAGCUCUUUUAACCGAGAUGAUAAUGACAGUACCGGGAGAAUAAGCUCCGGCUAACUCCGU
rnacentral:rRNA from 1 species